AAAAAACAGAACUGAUUUUACUGUCAAACAACAAAAUAAGAAAGGAAAGAAGAUACAAUUAGAACUAAACAAAAUGGUGAAUACAGAUUUUAGGCUCUCUUUUGACUAGCAUUGUGUCAUCACCACCUAAUCGCAAUCUUCCAAAUAUAUGAAAAUCAUAGCUUAAGUGAGAAAAUGUGUUCAAGAGUCCUUUGAACUGCUUGAGUUCUCAUCUUGCCAAGACGCUUUCCAUUGCUUGUCAUAAAAAGUAGACUCGUCCACCAACUUUUUGAGUGUUUCUAUAUCCUCAUUCUUCCGUAUCAGAAGCACACCGGCCACAGCUACAAACAACAGUGUUUUGCAAAAGAAGUUCCCCAUUUGGUCAACAAGGCCUACCCCAGUCAAGCUAUCCACAAAAUAGGCCAUAAAGAAACCAACCAUUGCAGCACGACCAUUGAGAAGUUCAGCUUCAGGGAGAUGGAAUCUCUUCAUCCAUGCCCACCAAGGAAUAAUGGAAGUGUCGAAAAGCACAGGUUCUUCAUUACUUGAUGACUCUGGGUUAUCUUCCAACCAUUUCC
rnacentral:misc_RNA from 1 species